GGGAGCUUGCUCCCUGAUGUUAGCGGCGGACGGGUGAGUAACACGUGGGUAACCUGCCUGUAAGACUGGGAUAACUCCGGGAAACCGGGGCUAAUACCGGAUGGUUGUCUGAACCGCAUGGUUCAGACAUAAAAGGUGGCUUCGGCUACCACUUACAGAUGGACCCGCGGCGCAUUAGCUAGUUGGUGAGGUAACGGCUCACCAAGGCGACGAUGCGUAGCCGACCUGAGAGGGUGAUCGGCCACACUGGGACUGAGACACGGCCCAGACUCCUACGGGAGGCAGCAGUAGGGAAUCUUCCGCAAUGGACGAAAGUCUGACGGAGCAACGCCGCGUGAGUGAUGAAGGUUUUCGGAUCGUAAAGCUCUGUUGUUAGGGAAGAACAAGUGCCGUUCAAAUAGGGCGGCACCUUGACGGUACCUAACCAGAAAGCCACGGCUAACUACGUGCCAGCAGCCGCGGUAAUACGUAGGUGGCAAGCGUUGUCCGGAAUUAUUGGGCGUAAAGGGCUCGCAGGCGGUUUCUUAAGUCUGAUGUGAAAGCCCCCGGCUCAACCGGGGAGGGUCAUUGGAAACUGGGGAACUUGAGUGCAGAAGAGGAGAGUGGAAUUCCACGUGUAGCGGUGAAAUGCGUAGAGAUGUGGAGGAACACCAGUGGCGAAGGCGACUCUCUGGUCUGUAACUGACGCUGAGGAGCGAAAGCGUGGGGAGCGAACAGGAUUAGAUACCCUGGUAGUCCACGCCGUAAACGAUGAGUGCUAAGUGUUAGGGGGUUUCCGCCCCUUAGUGCUGCAGCUAACGCAUUAAGCACUCCGCCUGGGGAGUACGGUCGCAAGACUGAAACUCAAAGGAAUUGACGGGGGCCCGCACAAGCGGUGGAGCAUGU
rnacentral:rRNA from 1 species